rnacentral:rRNA from 1 species
AUGAACGCUGGCGGCGUGCUUAACACAUGCAAGUCGAACGAAGCACUUUAUUUGAUUUCCUUCGGGACUGAUUAUUUUGUGACUGAGUGGCGGACGGGUGAGUAACGCGUGGGUAACCUGCCUUGUACAGGGGGAUAACAGUUGGAAACGGCUGCUAAUACCGCAUAAGCGCACAGCAUCGCAUGAUGCAGUGUGAAAAACUCCGGUGGUAUAAGAUGGGCCCGCGUUGGAUUAGCUAGUUGGUGAGGUAACGGCCCACCAAGGCGACGAUCCAUAGCCGACCUGAGAGGGUGACCGGCCACAUUGGGACUGAGACACGGCCCAAACUCCUACGGGAGGCAGCAGUGGGGAAUAUUGCACAAUGGGCGAAAGCCUGAUGCAGCGACGCCGCGUGAGCGAAGAAGUAUUUCGGUAUGUAAAGCUCUAUCAGCAGGGAAGAUAAUGACGGUACCUGACUAAGAAGCACCGGCUAAAUACGUG